rnacentral:rRNA from 1 species
UAGGGAAUUUUCCACAAUGGGCGAAAGCCUGAUGGAGCAACGCCGCGUGCAGGAUGAAGGCCUUAGGGUUGUAAACUGCUUUUGUCUGUGAAGAUUAUGACGGUAGCAGACGAAUAAGGACCGGCUAACUACGUGCCAGCAGCCGCGGUCAUACGUAGGGUCCAAGCGUUAUCCGGAAUUACUGGGCGUAAAGAGUUGCGUAGGUGGCAGAGUAAGUAGACAGUGAAAUCGUCCCGCUCAACGGGAUACACAUUGUCUAAACUGCUCAGCUAGAAGAUGAGAGAGGUCGCUAGAAUUCCUAGUGUAGGAGUGAAAUCCGUAGAUAUUAGGAGGAAUACCGAUGGCGUAGGCAGGCGACUGGCUCAUUCUUGACACUAAGGCACGAAAGCGUGGGGAGCAAACGGG